UACGAAGGGGGCUAGCGUUGUUCGGAUUUACUGGGCGUAAAGCGUACGUAGGCGGAUCGUUAAGUCGGGGGUGAAAUCCUGGAGCUCAACUCCAGAACUGCCUUCGAUACUGGCGAUCUAGAGUCCGGAAGAGGUGAGUGGAACUCCUAGUGUAGAGGUGGAAUUCGUAGAUAUUAGGAAGAACACCAGUGGCGAAGGCGGCUCACUGGUCCGGUACUGACGCUGAGGUGCGAAAGCGUGGGGAGCAAACAGG
rnacentral:rRNA from 1 species